UUGGAGGGCAAGUCUGGUGCCAGCAGCCGCGGUAAUUCCAGCUCCAAUAGCGUAUAUUAAAGUUGUUGCAGUUAAAAAGCUCGUAGUUGAAUUUCGGGAUCUAUCCAUUGGUCGGGCCUCACGGUCCGUACUGGUGUUAUGGAUUCCUACCUUCUGAAUAACCGGGAUGUCAUUAAUUUGAUGUGGUGGAGAAUCAGGACUGUUACCUUGAAAAAAUUAGAGUGUUUAAAGCAGGCUAACGCUUGAAUACAUUAGCAUGGAAUAAUGAAAUAGGACGUUCGACCCUAUUUUGUUGGUUUCUAGGAUCACCGUAAUGAUUAAUAGGGAUAGUUGGGGGCAUUAGUAUUCAAUUGUCAGAGGUGAAAUUCUUGGAUUUAUUGAAGACUAACUACUGCGAAAGCAUUUGCCAAGGAUGUUUUCAUUAGUCAAGAACGAAAGUUAGGGGAUCGAAGACGAUCAGAUACCGUCGUAGUCUUAACCAUAAACUAUGCCGACUAGGGAUCGGAUGAUGUUAAUUUUUUAAUGACUCAUUCGGCGCCUUACGGGAAAC
rnacentral:rRNA from 1 species